rnacentral:misc_RNA from 1 species
UAAUUUUGAUAAGUUUGGUUAAAUGGAGCUAUAUCUAUGAUUAUUUUAAAUUUUAUUUUUUUGAGCCUCAACUCAGUCAGGCACAUGCUUGCGCCUUGCACCAAGGCUUUUGGACCCCUUUGCAUUUUUAAUAACCAUGGUUCCAGCAACAGUUAACAGUGACUGAGAACUGAUAUAUACAAGGCAGAUUUUUUCAAUGAUUUUGAAAGUUUUUGAAGCAUUUUUUCAAAUAGAUGAAGUUUUGAAGCAUUUUUUCAAAUAGAUGAAGUUUUACUCUAUUUAUCUAUGUGAAUCAUGUCCUUCAUAAAUGCAGAUAUUCCUUGAACCUUGAAGAAAUUAUACAAUAAGCAGGGUCUGUUAUAUAGUUAAAAUUUAAUAUUUGUAUUUGUUUCAAUUAUUCAUCCAUUUCUCUAUCACAAUGAGAAAUUACAAAUGAGUUUCAUAUAAUAAAUGAACCAAAUCUAUUUCUUGAAUCUUGUAGCUGUGAUUUAAAACAUCUUGUGAUUGUUUACGUUGUAAGGUUGUACUAUCGCAUGGACCUCUUGGAGGAGAUGCUUUCUAAUCUGUGAUUAUUGGUUUGCAAUUCUCUCUUUGUGCAACGUGUAUUUGUAUGUUGUAUGCUACAAUCUCUAGUUUACCCAAUUCCUUUUGGGGCUAAUCUAUAUGUAAAAUUGUCAUUUUCUAUUGAGAAAGUUGCGCUGUCUUCUGUCCUUGUAUUAGAGAUUUUGCUGUUGUACACACUAGUUGUGCAAGUGCCCAUGCGAGUGUCCGGUGUUCAUAUUACUGAAUGUUACUGUGAAAUGACAGAUGCCUUGUUGAUGUAUAAUAAACUGCAAAGGCUAGAGUUACCUGAUGGUUGGAUUGCGAUCAGAUUUUUUUCAUAGUUCAGAUAACUUAAAAAUAAUUCUUAUAGUAAUAUGUGGGAGAAUUUGUGAUGUCUUGGCAAUCAAUUCAGAUAGAAGAGUUGGUCCUUGUGAUCUUUGUUGUCCUGUUAUGUUAGGACAUUCUUUUCAUGGAGUUCAAAUUUUUGUUGUUAGUAGGGGUCAUUGCUGGUAGCACGGGAUGGAGAGGUCUCAGUUGAUUAUUAUUGUUAAAUUUUAAAGCAAAAUGCUAGAAGUUAUGUUGCUCUGCUGAAUAAAAUUACUCUUUAAUUGUUACAUUUCUCCUUUGAAACUCUAGUUUGGAUACCCCGAAGCAGAGUUUAAUAUUAACUAUACCUUACAUGUAUUUUGAAGUUUUAAAUGUAUGGCAGGGGUAUGAUAAAAUGACUAACAACUUCUUUUGUCCUUCUCCUCAGGUGCAAGUUCCGUUUCAGGGUUCUUUGCUUCAGCCUGCAGUCUUCCUUUUGAUUAUGUUAAAACUCAAAUUCAGAAAAUGCAACCUGAUGCUGAGGGAAAGUAUCCCUACACUGGUUCUUUAGACUGUGCCAUGAAGACUCUCAAGUCGGGAGGACCAUUCAAAUUCUACACAGGAUUCCCUGUCUAUUGUGUUAGAAUUGCUCCCCAUGUCAUGAUGACCUGGAUAUUUCUGAACCAGAUCCAAAAGCUGGAGAAAUCUGUGGGAUUGUAGUCUUCAACAGAGGAGAUUUUCAGUUGACUAAAGCUAUUAAAUAAUGAUACAUUGCCUGUGUUGUAGUUUAUGGUGGUUGUUCACACCCUCUCACAUCCGACCAAUUUGUUUUGAAAUUUUUACAGUGCAUUGGAGUAGGAUCUCAAAAAUUUUAUUGAACUUUUUAUUUCUAGGGCAGUGGCAGAUUUUGGAUUUUGUUUUUGAGUUCAACAAGAAUUUCUCAUUGAAAAAGUUCUUUUGAAGAGAAUAUUGAAAGCUAAAUAAGUUUUGUACUUGGAUCUUAAAACAGUUGUAUUACAUUUAGCUUCUGUUGUUCCUGAAACGAAAGUUGCCAUUCUUUCUUGGCUAUUGUUGGCAAGUUGCCAUUCUUUUAAUACAAGUGCGAAUUGCAUGUGAGCUAGCAAUGCUAUUCUUUAACAAA